rnacentral:rRNA from 1 species
GACGAACCGUGCGAACGUUGUUCGGAUUUACUGGGCGUAAAGGGCGCGUAGGCGGCCAGCACAAGUCAGUUGUGAAAUCUCCGGGCUUAACUCGGAAAGGUCAACUGAUACUGUGCGGCUAGAGUGCAGAAGGGGCAACUGGAAUUCUCGGUGUAGCGGUGAAAUGCGUAGAUAUCGAGAGGAACACCUGCGGCGAAGGCGGGUUGCUGGGCUGACACUGACGCUGAUGCGCGAAAGCCAGGGGAGCGAACGGG